rnacentral:rRNA from 1 species
UACGAAGGGGGCUAGCGUUGUUCGGAAUUACUGGGCGUAAAGGGCGCGUAGGCGGUGCCUCAAGUCAGGCGUGAAAGCCCCGGGCUCAACCUGGGAACUGCAUCUGUGACUGUAUAGCUAGAGUACGGGUAGAGGGGGAUGGAAUUCCGCGUGUAGCAGUGAAAUGCGUAGAUAUGCGGAGGAACACCGAUGGCGAAGGCAAUCCCCUGGACCUGUACUGACG